GGUUAAGCGACUAAGCGUACACGGUGGAUGCCCUGGCAGUCAGAGGCGAUGAAGGACGUGCUAAUCUGCGAUAAGCGUCGGUAAGGUGAUAUGAACCGUUAUAACCGGCGAUUUCCGAAUGGGGAAACCCAGUGUGUUUCGACACACUAUCAUUAACUGAAUCCAUAGGUUAAUGAGGCGAACCGGGGGAACUGAAACAUCUAAGUACCCCGAGGAAAAGAAAUCAACCGAGAUUCCCCCAGUAGCGGCGAGCGAACGGGGAGCAGCCCAGAGCCUGAAUCAGUGUGUGUGUUAGUGGAAGCGUCUGGAAAGGCGCGCGAUACAGGGUGACAGCCCCGUACACAAAAAUGCACAUGCUGUGAGCUCGAUGAGUAGGGCGGGACACGUGGUAUCCUGUCUGAAUAUGGGGGGACCAUCCUCCAAGGCUAAAUACUCCUGACUGACCGAUAGUGAACCAGUACCGUGAGGGAAAGGCGAAAAGAACCCCGGCGAGGGGAGUGAAAAAGAACCUGAAACCGUGUACGUACAAGCAGUGGGAGCACGCUUAGGCGUGUGACUGCGUACCUUUUGUAUAAUGGGUCAGCGACUUAUAUUCUGUAGCAAGGUUAACCGAAUAGGGGAGCCGAAGGGAAACCGAGUCUUAACUGGGCGUUAAGUUGCAGGGUAUAGACCCGAAACCCGGUGAUCUAGCCAUGGGCAGGUUGAAGGUUGGGUAACACUAACUGGAGGACCGAACCGACUAAUGUUGAAAAAUUAGCGGAUGACUUGUGGCUGGGGGUGAAAGGCCAAUCAAACCGGGAGAUAGCUGGUUCUCCCCGAAAGCUAUUUAGGUAGCGCCUCGUGAAUUCAUCUCCGGGGGUAGAGCACUGUUUCGGCAAGGGGGUCAUCCCGACUUACCAACCCGAUGCAAACUGCGAAUACCGGAGAAUGUUAUCACGGGAGACACACGGCGGGUGCUAACGUCCGUCGUGAAGAGGGAAACAACCCAGACCGCCAGCUAAGGUCCCAAAGUCAUGGUUAAGUGGGAAACGAUGUGGGAAGGCCCAGACAGCCAGGAUGUUGGCUUAGAAGCAGCCAUCAUUUAAAGAAAGCGUAAUAGCUCACUGGUCGAGUCGGCCUGCGCGGAAGAUGUAACGGGGCUAAACCAUGCACCGAAGCUGCGGCAGCGACGCUUAUGCGUUGUUGGGUAGGGGAGCGUUCUGUAAGCCUGUGAAGGUGUGCUGUGAGGCAUGCUGGAGGUAUCAGAAGUGCGAAUGCUGACAUAAGUAACGAUAAAGCGGGUGAAAAGCCCGCUCGCCGGAAGACCAAGGGUUCCUGUCCAACGUUAAUCGGGGCAGGGUGAGUCGACCCCUAAGGCGAGGCCGAAAGGCGUAGUCGAUGGGAAACAGGUUAAUAUUCCUGUACUUGGUGUUACUGCGAAGGGGGGACGGAGAAGGCUAUGUUGGCCGGGCGACGGUUGUCCCGGUUUAAGCGUGUAGGCUGGUUUUCCAGGCAAAUCCGGAAAAUCAAGGCUGAGGCGUGAUGACGAGGCACUACGGUGCUGAAGCAACAAAUGCCCUGCUUCCAGGAAAAGCCUCUAAGCAUCAGGUAACAUCAAAUCGUACCCCAAACCGACACAGGUGGUCAGGUAGAGAAUACCAAGGCGCUUGAGAGAACUCGGGUGAAGGAACUAGGCAAAAUGGUGCCGUAACUUCGGGAGAAGGCACGCUGAUAUGUAGGUGANNNNNNNNNNNNNNGGAGCUGAAAUCAGUCGAAGAUACCAGCUGGCUGCAACUGUUUAUUAAAAACACAGCACUGUGCAAACACGAAAGUGGACGUAUACGGUGUGACGCCUGCCCGGUGCCGGAAGGUUAAUUGAUGGGGUUAGCGCAAGCGAAGCUCUUGAUCGAAGCCCCGGUAAACGGCGGCCGUAACUAUAACGGUCCUAAGGUAGCGAAAUUCCUUGUCGGGUAAGUUCCGACCUGCACGAAUGGCGUAAUGAUGGCCAGGCUGUCUCCACCCGAGACUCAGUGAAAUUGAACUCGCUGUGAAGAUGCAGUGUACCCGCGGCAAGACGGAAAGACCCCGUGAACCUUUACUAUAGCUUGACACUGAACAUUGAGCCUUGAUGUGUAGGAUAGGUGGGAGGCUUUGAAGUGUGGACGCCAGUCUGCAUGGAGCCGACCUUGAAAUACCACCCUUUAAUGUUUGAUGUUCUAACGUUGACCCGUAAUCCGGGUUGCGGACAGUGUCUGGUGGGUAGUUUGACUGGGGCGGUCUCCUCCUAAAGAGUAACGGAGGAGCACGAAGGUUGGCUAAUCCUGGUCGGACAUCAGGAGGUUAGUGCAAUGGCAUAAGCCAGCUUGACUGCGAGCGUGACGGCGCGAGCAGGUGCGAAAGCAGGUCAUAGUGAUCCGGUGGUUCUGAAUGGAAGGGCCAUCGCUCAACGGAUAAAAGGUACUCCGGGGAUAACAGGCUGAUACCGCCCAAGAGUUCAUAUCGACGGCGGUGUUUGGCACCUCGAUGUCGGCUCAUCACAUCCUGGGGCUGAAGUAGGUCCCAAGGGUAUGGCUGUUCGCCAUUUAAAGUGGUACGCGAGCUGGGUUUAGAACGUCGUGAGACAGUUCGGUCCCUAUCUGCCGUGGGCGCUGGAGAACUGAGGGGGGCUGCUCCUAGUACGAGAGGACCGGAGUGGACGCAUCACUGGUGUUCGGGUUGUCAUGCCAAUGGCACUGCCCGGUAGCUAAAUGCGGAAGAGAUAAGUGCUGAAAGCAUCUAAGCACGAAACUUGCCCCGAGAUGAGUUCUCCCUGACUCCUUGAGAGUCCUGAAGGAACGUUGAAGACGACGACGUUGAUAGGCCGGGUGUGUAAGCGCAGCGAUGCGUUGAGCUAACCGGUACUAAUGAACCGUGAGGCUUAACCUU
rnacentral:rRNA from 1 species